UCCCGAGUGGCUCAGAUGGUAAAGCAUCUGCCCUCAAUACAGGAGACCCAGGUUUGAUCCCUGGGUUGGGAA
rnacentral:tRNA from 1 species